rnacentral:rRNA from 1 species
UGCGCAGGCGGCCUGAUAAGUCAGAGGUGAAAUAUGUCGGCUCAACCGACAAACUGCCCCCGAAACUGCCAGGCUUGAGUUCGAGAGAGGUAGGUGGAAUUCCAGGUGUAGCAGUGAAAUGCGUAAAUAUCUGGAGGAACACCGGUGGCGAAGGCGGCCUACUGGCUCGAUACUGACGCUCAGGCACGAAAGCUAGGGGAGCGAACAGGAUUAGAUACCCUGGUAGUCC